rnacentral:rRNA from 1 species
CCUACGGGUGGCAGCAGUGGGGAAUAUUGCACAAUGGGGGAAACCCUGAUGCAGCGACGCCGCGUGAGUGAAGAAGUAUUUCGGUACGUAAAGCUCUAUCAGCAGGGAAGAAAAACCGGCCUUAGGUCCGCCAGACGGUACCUGACUAAGAAGCCCAGGCUAACUACGUGCCAGCAGCCGCGGUAAUACGUAGGGGGCACGCGGUAUCCGGGUUUACUGGGUGUAAGGGGAGCGUAGACGGCAGCGCAAGUCUGGAGUGAAAUGCCGGGGCCCAACCCCGGAACUGCGUUGGAAACUGUGCAGCUGGAGUGCAGGAGAGGUAAGCGGAAUUCCUAGUGUAGCGGUGAAAUGCGUAGAUAUUAGGAGGAACACCAGUGGCGAAGGCGGCUUACUGGACUGUAACUGACGUUGAGGCUCGAAAGCGUGGGGAGCAAACAGGAUUAGAUACCCUAGUAGUC